GAGAGACAGAGCGAGAGAGAGAGGGAUGGGGAUCCUGGCAUGGGUGAGUGGAAGGGAGACAGUGAGAGAAAGAGAGAGGGAGGGGUUGGAUGGUGAACAGAGCCGAGUAAGGUCCCCUCAGUUCAUGAAUCACUCUGGAUCGUCCAUUCCCUUUUGCAUGUCGGAUCAAUGGCUAGAUUUCGAAAGCUAAGUUCCAUUUUUUAUUCCAAUCUUUGCUGUUAGCAUAGAUGUGAACUGUUGGGUUAGGUUUUGGGGGUUCCUUUGUUUCGUUUUCUCUCAUUUUCUCUCAUUUUGGGGAUGCAUCUCUCUGUUCUGUGCAUUGUCUUCUGUUUUAAGGUCAGUUUUCUUCUUCUUUUUUUGUGGCUUUUUUUUGGGGGGUUUUCAGUUUGUUGAUCUUUUAGAUUUUUCAUUCGUGAAUGAUUAAAUGGGUAUUGGGUUUUGGUGGUUGAAAAUAUGUUUUUUUUCUGCUUAAGCUUCUUGCUCAUUUUCCUGGGAUUUUUGGUUUUUGGUUGCAAGGGUAAAGAGAACACUAAAAUCUCAGGUUAAAUGGGUAUUGGGUUUUGGUGGUUUAAAAUAUGUUUUUUUUCUGCUUAAGCUUCUUGCUCAUUUUCCUGGGAUUUUUGGUUUUUGGUUGCAAGGGUAAAGAGAACACUAAAAUCUCAGGUUAAAUGGGUAUUGGGUUUUGGUGGUUUAAAAUAUGUUUUUUUUCUGCUUAAGCUUCUUGCUCAUUUUUCUGGGAUUUUUGGUUUUCAGUUGCAAGGGUAAAGAUAAUGCUAAAAUCUUAGAAAUUGGUAUUGGCAAUUGUAUUAAUGCAUUUGCAUUUUCGUUGGUUUGCAGUAUAGGUGCAUUGAGACCUAAAAAUAUUUGCGUGAACUUCAUAAAUUUUUCUGAGGCUCCGAUCCUUGAAAGGUUUUGGAUUUACUGAUCUUCGAUUCCGCCUCCCCUCUCCUCUACCUGACCCUCCUUGAGGGACGGAUGGGCAGGGAGAGAGAGAGGGCAGAGAGCAUGCCCUGCGUUUUUUGGGGUUAACGGGUUACCCCACGGGGUUGCUGAGCAGAGGAUCUAUGAGGGAGGUAUGGGAGAGGAGAGGGUUUUUAGUUUUGUUCUCUGAUUCAACAGGAGAAGAUUUCUGAUGAGUUAGAUAAGAGAGCGAAGAAGUUUCUUAGAGGAGCAGAAGCAAAUUUGGAGGGCUUGAAAGAUAAGAAAUUGAAGGGUGAACUUGCUGUUAGAGAAGAAUUGUAUGGAAAAUCUGCACAAGCUGCUGCCAAGGCUGAGAAGAAUUAUCAGUGGCUUCUACCAAGUGAGGGAGGCUAUUUGGAGACUGAAGGCAUAGAGAAGACAUGGAGGAUCAAACAAGAAUCAAUUGCUCUGCACCUAUCAAUGCCGCCAAAUGGCUUCAAUAAAAUCAGCACCCACAACUAGAA